AUGCCAUCUGGACUGCCAGAAACCUGCUGGCACUCGUCCAUUGCACUCCGGCCAUGCUGACCCCUACGAAUUCCCCAAAUGUGGGAAUCUCGACUGCAUAAUUUAUGGUAGUGGGGGACUGCGUUCGCGCUCUCCCCUG
ensembl:snRNA U1 U1 spliceosomal RNA